UGCCACAUAGGAUUACAGGUCACAAAGUCGUUUAUUCAGAAGCUGCCAUCUGUCCAGAGAAGCAAACGCACCGUUUCAUUUAUUUCUCUUAUGAUGGGCUUUGACCCAUUUGUAGACAGAAAAUCUUACCUGAAAAAAACGACGCUUCCGUCUACACUUUUUGCCGUCAAAGUUCUUCAUCUGUUCAUCUACCUGCGAGAAAAAGUUGAGGCGUUACUUUUUGCCGAAACGGAAUAAAGCUGAACCCAAUCGUCGUCAUUAACACACACAUUAACCAAAGCUCUCCAUUCCUUCCACGAUUUAUCAAUGAAUACAUCUUCCAAUUAUAAAAAAUGUUCUAUAAAAAUUCUUCAGUUCAAGCUUCUAAUUAAUGGUCUCUGAUGUUCGACUUCAAACAAGGAUCCUACAAGAAUAUUUAGACACAAAAUCUGAAACCGAGGAAGAUGAAGAACUGAGACUUACCCAGAAUCAAGAUCGUUCUUAAAACAAAAUCGUAAGCGAGAUGGAGGGCGACGGAGCAAGCGGAGACGGAGUAAGUGGAGGAGAGAAAGGAAGCAAGUGGCGAAGAGCGACAGAGCAAGGGCGGAGAGCGAUGGAACAAGCGGCGUUGAGCUGAUGGAGCAAGUGACGGAGAGAGCGAGAUGGACAGCCAUGGAACAAGCGACGGAGAGUGAGACAAGAGAUAGAACAGGCAAUCGUUGCAGUUCAAUGGUACAAGGGUGGUUGAUAGGCUCUCAGACAGGGUUCAUGCUUUCAAAGUUUCUGUACAUUAAGGGGUGAAAGUUCAUGUGGAGGAGUCUGACAUGACUAGAUAACUUCUCAUGAGGAUGUUGCUCAGUUUCGAAGGCCUCCAAACAACAGAGAAAGCUAGAGUAUAACACGAUGAUGCAGAGUUGUGGCUGAGUUACUUUCCGCCAAUCUCCAAAAACCUAUCUAUAAGAAGUGUGCAUUCUGAGGAGAAAAGACAAAUACAUUCCAAAAAACACUCAGAUCCACAAUUGUGGGAAGUAUUUAAUUAAGUUUGUUUGUGAUUUCAUACCCAUAUUUGGAUAAUCUAAUUUUUUUUUCAGAUCUGAGUGAGAGAAAAUUGAACAAAAAGAAAAUGAAGAAGAUGAAAAGAAGUGACAGAUUCAGCAGAGACGACAUAGAGGAGUUCAUUGAAGCUUGGAUACAUGGACGAAUACCGGAAUGAUGCCGAAAACCUGUAUUUUUGGUUUUCUAUGUAAAAAACAUAACUCACCCAUGUAUUGUGUGUUUGAUUUAUGCUAUGUUUACACUACUCAGCCCUGUCGUUUAUAUAUCUCAGCUGUGUCGUUUACAUAACUCAGCCGUACCUCAAACAUACCCUACAACUCAGCCGUACCUCAAACAUACCCUAAAAUCAAAAAAAAAAUGUUUAGAUAACUCAGCCGUAUCGUUUAGAUAACUCAGCCGUAUCGUUUAUAUAAAUCAACAAUACCUCAAACAUACCCUAAAAUCGGAAAAAUGAAUUCAAGUACUUUAAGAAGUUAUAUUGAAAAUCAUCUUAUCAAUAUCAAGUGAAUAUAAAUCAACUGAAUGUGUAUAGUUUCUUAUACUUCAAGUUGAGACUUUAACUUGAUCUUGAGAUAUAUGUUCUCUUACAAUCACUUAUACAAUUCUGACUUACAAGACUCUAACUUUAAUCUUU